UGAUACAUUCCAUAACAGGCAAAACUGCCAGUUAGGACCUUUGUAAACCACUUAAAAAAGCUGAUUGAAUUUCUACUCGUUGAAUUUACGAGUAGCCAUAUCACACCAUUUUGCACUGUCCUCCUGUUACUUUGUCGACUAAACAAACGCUCGAGUGAUUGUGUACUGUCAGGAAGACGGAGACGCACUUUAUUGCGUGUAUAUGCUACGCAGUACGCACUGAAAAUACUUGGUUAGGAUUAGGGGUGAGGAGUGCGUGUGUAUUACACGCCAUAAAAUUGCGUAUCAUAUGCACGCAAAAACUAUUUUUGCCGUAUAAAUGGCACGACAAAUAACAUUCGUGGUAUAGAUACGCAUUUUUUUUUAUUGUGCGAUUAAUUGAUUUAUUGACUUUCGCGACAGGCCUAGCUGCAAUUUACAUUUGGUUUACAUUACCACCAGGGAAGCAAGUGUAGGAAGUUGAUGAUGUGAUUCUGUUGCAGUUUUUUUUUUUUUUUUGCUGCUUAUUGGCUAACAUAAUCUGUUCCUACUAUUUUCUGUGUUGCCUUUUUGACUUUCAGACCAGGAAGUGGAUGAGGAGAGUUUCCGUUUGCUGGAUGAUAAUGCAAUCGCCUGCCUUAUUCCUAAAAUAGGACAGCGUGUCAAAUUUCAGAAAAAUCACAAGGAACUUGUGAGUAAAAUGCAGUAGUAGGUUUUAUCUGAAGCAAGUCAGUUUCUGUUCUUAUCCAGACACCACUCUGUUUUAGACUUUUCCUUUGUAUAAUAUUACUGACCAGGUGGAUAGUGGUGGGGUGAGCAUUGUAAGAACUGUUGUCCUACGAACAUAGCUUAAUAAUGCCAUAUACAUGCUUCCGCUGCAAACAAGUAAUACCCGGUCAUGCAAAAGGUCUGUUUAUUCACCUGAGAGCAGUGCAUGGGAUAAAUUAUGCUUCAACAUUCUUUCAGUGCUGUGAAGAUGGUUGCAGGCGGACAUUUAGAUACAUUCGAUCUUUCCGAAGGCAUCUUCUUCAGCAUUCUGUCCCAGAAAACCAUUACCGUCCAGAACAGCAUUUCGGGGGGAGCACAGGAGCAUCUGUGCAGGGCCUCUCACGUACCAUAAAUGCAGAAAUGCAGAAUGCAGAAAUUGCAGAUUUAGAGACACCAACUCAAGAAAACAAAGAUGAUGAUUACUGGGAUGAGUUGGAACCAGAAACCAUAACAGAGCGGAUAGCUCUGUUUUUAGCCACCCUUAAGUCAAAAUCAGCUCAGACCUACAGUACAGUUAGCUUUGUUGUCCAACAGACAUCAAGCUUGAUUUCAGACAUUGUUGGUUCACUUCAGAGUAAGACUUUGUCUCUGUUUGAAAAAUUAGGUCAUAAGGAUGAUUCAGGGGUCCAAAAACUUGCCUGUGAUUUUGAAGAAGCUAAAAGUCCUUUCAAAGGAUUAGAAUCAGACUUUAAACAGAUGCAGUAUUUUACAAAGUCAGGCAACUUCAUUCACCCGAUAGAGGAGGCUUUGCCUGGAGUCUCCUAUGUGCAGAGAAGGGACUCUGCUACUGGGACAGUACGACAAGUUGCGGUUCAAGAUGUGUUUUAUCGCGUCCCACUGAAACCCCUUUUGACUAAACUGCUUGAGCUCCCUGGCAUUUUGGAUGCCAUCUUUACUUGGCAGCAAAGAGAAAAUGGAGUCCUUUUAGACUUUUAUGAUGGUGAGUAUUGCAAACAGCAUCCUCUCUUAUCCAGCAAAGCGUCUGUUCCACUUCUUUUGUACAAUGACGACUGUGAAACAGUCAACCCACUUGGUUCAAAAGUUGUGGUGCACAAGUUGGGGUUUCUUUACUUCACAAUUAAGAGUCUGCCCCCAGAGUUUCUGUCAAAACUUUCAUCACAUUUUCUGGUUGCAGUUUACAAAUCAGAUGAUGCCAAAACAUAUGGUAUUGAUAGUGUUCUGCUCCCAGUCAUAGAGGAACUGAAGGAUCUUGAGGUCAAUGGUAUAACCCUCAACACACCACACUUCAAGGGUGAAAUGCGGUUUUCAGUUGCCCAGUUGUGUGGGGACAAUCUUGGCUUAAAUGCCAUUCUUGGAUUUACAGAGAGUUUCUCGGGUAAUUACUUCUGUCGCAUAUGCAAGGCACACAAAACCACUACAAGGGCACAGACAAAAGAGGAUGUUACUCUGCUGAGAAAUAAAACAAACCAUGCUGAAGAUGUUCAUCUUGCCAACUUGUCAGAAACAGGUGUUAAGAGAGACAGUAUUCUGAAUAAUCUGUGCUACUUCAAUGUGACACACAACCAGGUUGCAGAUGUCAUGCAUGACUUGUUGGAAGGGGUGGGACCAUAUGAGUUGAAGUUAAUACUCUGUUCACUGAUUGAGGACAAACACCUCACCCUUGAAAAACUCAACUUCCGAAUCACAAGUUUUGAUUAUGGAUUUCCUGAUCUGAAGAACAAGCCAUCUGUAAUUGGUAGGCAUGAACUUAAAAAUCCUGAAGGAGCAAUGCAUCAGUCUGCAGCCCAAACAUGGUGUCUCCUCAGGUUGUUGCCGUGUAUGAUUGGAGACCUCAUACCUGAAGAAAACAAGCACUGGGAACUCUUGCUGCUCCUUCUGGAAUGCAUGGAAUUGAUUUUCUCGCCAUCUCUCACACAAGAAGCUGCAGUUUACUUGGCUGCCAUCAUAGAUGAGCAUCACUCUCUGUUUCUUGAGCUGUACCCUAAUUUGCAUCUUCGUCCGAAGCACCAUUUUAUGGUCCACUAUCCUAAUGCAAUUUUGAAGUUAGGACCCCUGAUACAGUUCUGGUCUAUGCGAUUUGAGGCUAAACAUGGCUUUUUUAAACGCAUCAGCCAUGUCACCUGUAACUUCAAAAAUAUCUGCAAGACCAUGGCAUUUCGACAUCAGAUGAUGCAAUGCUACUCCCUUCUUUCUGGUUCUGUGUUCAAAAGUGAAACAGAAGUUGGCCCAGGUCACAGCACUUUGCUUGCUGUAAUGGAUGGUUUUGGUGAUGUACAAAGUGGAAUUGAAGAUUUCCCACCUUUUACAGAAACUUUUAUUCCAGCUUGGAUAAGGGUAAAUGGUACACAGUACAAGCCUGGCAUGACAGUAUUUCUGUCCUACACUGCUGAUGGUGAGCCCCAGUUUGGUCUUGUGAAAAAGAUUCUAGUCUUGGAUCACUCAGUCAAGCUUGUAGUCCAAAAGUGGGAUACAGUAGGUUUCGAGAGGCAUUUUUUUGCCUACGGUGUAAUAACAACCACUAAUGUGUUUGCUGUUGAUCUUAGUUCUCUCCUGGACCAUCACCCUCUGCAUGCAGUGCAGUCCUACAGAGACAAUGACAUUUGCUUAUAUGUUUCACUUAGAUACAGAAUCUUUUAAGAUUCUGUGUUUGCUGAAGAAAGGUAUGUAAGCUUGCAUCUAUGCUCAUUAAAGGGAUGGUUCGGAGUAAAAU
ensembl:lncRNA